UACGUAGGGUGCAAGCGUUAAUCGGAAUUACUGGGCGUAAAGCGUGCGCAGGCGGUUUUGUAAGUCUGUCGUGAAAUCCCCGGGCUUAACCUGGGAAUUGCGAUGGAGACUGCAAGGCUAGAAUCUGGCAGAGGGGGGUAGAAUUCCACGUGUAGCAGUGAAAUGCGUAGAGAUGUGGAGAAACACCGAUGGCGAAGGCAGCCCCCUGGGUCAAGAUUGACGCUCAUGCACGAAAGCGUGGGGAGCAAACAGG
rnacentral:rRNA from 1 species